AUGAACGCUGGCGGUAGGCCUAACACAUGCAAGUCGAACGGCAGCACAGUAAGAGCUUGCUCUUUCGGGUGGCGAGUGGCGGACGGGUGAGGAAUACAUCGGAAUCUACUUUUUCGUGGGGGAUAACGUAGGGAAACUUACGCUAAUACCGCAUACGACCUACGGGUGAAAGCAGGGGAUCUUCGGACCUUGCGCGAUUGAAUGAGCCGAUGUCGGAUUAGCUAGUUGGCGGGGUAAAGGCCCACCAAGGCGACGAUCCGUAGCUGGUCUGAGAGGAUGAUCAGCCACACUGGAACUGAGACACGGUCCAGACUCCUACGGGAGGCAGCAGUGGGGAAUAUUGGACAAUGGGCGCAAGCCUGAUCCAGCCAUACCGCGUGGGUGAAGAAGGCCUUCGGGUUGUAAAGCCCUUUUGUUGGGAAAGAAAAGCAGCAGGUUAAUACGCCGCUGUUCUGACGGUACCCAAAGAAUAAGCACCGGCUAACUUCGUG
rnacentral:rRNA from 1 species